AUUGACGAUAGAUGGAUUCAAGUGAAUGGCUGCUACAAACUAUGAUGAGAAGAAUCAGAUCAACUUCUUUUAGGGCAUGUGCUUAUCCCCUUCAAUAGACAUUAUUUUUCUUUACCCUAUCUUAGAAGCGGACACAAGUUUUUGUCAUUAAAGUUCUUGGAUUCUCAUGUGUAUUUUUAUAUUGACAAAUAUCUUGCAAUAUUAUUGCUUAAAUCUCAGAGCAGUUGU
rnacentral:misc_RNA from 1 species